rnacentral:rRNA from 1 species
CACGUAGGCACCAAGCGUUGUCCGGAUUUAUUUGGCGUAAAGAGCUCGUAGGCGGUUCAGUAAGUCGGGUGUGAAAACUCUUGGCUCAACCCAGAGACGCCACCCGAUACUGCUGUGACUUGAGUACGGUAGGGGAGUGGGGAAUUCCUGGUGUAGCGGUGAAAUGCGCAGAUAUCAGGAGGAACACCAGUGGCGAAGGCGCCACUCUGGGCCGUAACUGACGCUGAGGAGCGAAAGCGUGGGUAGCAAACAGGAUUAGAUACCCUGGUAGUCCACGCCGUAAACGUUGGGCACUAGGUGUGGGUCUCAACCAACGAGAUCCGCGCCGUCGCUAACGCAUUAAGUGCCCCGCCUGGGGAGUACGGUCGCAAGACUAAA